UACGAAGGGGGCUAGCGUUGCUCGGAAUCACUGGGCGUAAAGGGUGCGUAGGCGGGUCUUUAAGUCAGGGGUGAAAUCCUGGAGCUCAACUCCAGAACUGCCUUUGAUACUGAGGAUCUUGAGUUCGGGAGAGGUGAGUGGAACUGCGAGUUUAGAGGUGAAAUUCGUAGAUAUUCGCAAGAACACCAGUGGCGAAGGCGGCUCACUGGCCCGUUACUGACGCUGAGGCACGAAAGCGUGGGGAGCAAACAGG
rnacentral:rRNA from 1 species